UACAGAGGGUGCGAGCGUUAAUCGGAAUUACUGGGCGUAAAGCGUGCGUAGACGGUAGCGUAAGUCAGAUGUGAAAGCCCAGGGCUCAACCUUGGAAUUGCCUUUGAUACUGGCAGUCUUGAGUACGGAAGAGGUAUGUGGAACUCCGAGUGUAGAGGUGAAAUUCGUAGAUAUUCGGAAGAACACCAGUGGCGAAGGCGACAUACUGGUCCGUUACUGACGCUGAGGCUCGAAAGCGUGGGGAGCAAACAGG
rnacentral:rRNA from 1 species